UCCGGCGAGGAUCCAAAUCCUUGUAGGAACUCUCAAUGGGGAGGGGUCCAUAAUCCUUUUGAGUUGGGUGAUGUCCCACCACGUGAAUAAGGUGUGAAGCUGUUGUGCAACUACAAGGAACGCACCCAACACGCGCGAAUAAUACUUACUCGCAUGAGUUAGGGGCGGGCCUCGCUGCUUUGUUCUUUUGCUUAUUGAUAUGAAGUCAACGGUCAUGAUAGGUGUUUAGAUCAACGAAUGCGAAAUCAACAAUGGUUUUUAUUUUUUAAGUCCCUACAUUUAAGAAUUCUACUAUAACGACCUCUUAUUG
rnacentral:lncRNA from 1 species